UUUACUCCUCUUCGGCUGCUGUGCUCUGGGCCCCAGUGUCCCCCCCUCAACACCCAGUUUUCCCCCGUUUCACUAUGAAUUUUUGAUUCUC
ensembl:ncRNA F52B5.10 ncRNA